rnacentral:rRNA from 1 species
ACAGUCACUGACAUUAGAUACCCGCGUAGUCCAGGGUGUAAACGACUGCAGACUUGGUGUUGGAAAUCCUUCGAGGGUAUUCAGUGCCGGAGAGAAGUUGUUAAGUCUGCUACUUGGGAGUACGUCCGCAAGGAUGAAACUUAAAGGAAAUUGGCGGGGGGAGGCACCGCAACGGGAGGGAGCGUGCGGUUUAAUUGGAUUCAACACCGGAAAACUCACCAGGGGAGACUGUUACAUGAAACCCAGACUAAUGAUCUUGGUUGAUUUUCAG